rnacentral:rRNA from 1 species
GACGAACGCUGGCGGCGUGCUUAACACAUGCAAGUCGAACGGAAAGGCCCUGCUUUUGUGGGGUGCUCGAGUGGCUAACGGGUGCGUAACACGUGAGUAACCUGCCCUUGACUUUGGGAUAACUUCAGGAAACUGGGGCUAAUUCCGGCUAGGAGCUCCUGCUUCAUGGCGGGGGUUGGAAAGUUUCGGCGGUUGGGUAUGGACUCGCGGCUUAUCAUCUUGUUGGUGGGGUAGUGGCUUACCAAGGCUUUGACGGGUAGCCGGCCUGAGAGGGUGACCGGCCACAUUGGGAGUGAGAGACGGCCCAGACACCUACGGGAGGCAGCAGGGGGGAAUAUUGCACAAUGGGCGGAAGCCUGAUGCAGCAACGCCGGGUGCGGGAUGAAGGCAUUCGGGUUGUAAACCGAUUUCGCCUGUGACGAAGCGUGAGUGACGGUAAUGGGUAAAGAAGCACCGGCUAACUACGU